UUAUUUUUAAAUGCCAUGGGUGCAUGGAACAGCUUGCACUAAUUUGAAAAUGUGUUAUGAAUACAGUUUAAAUCACUAAUGAACAACUAUAUUUCCAUGUACAUAUGUUGUUGUUUUUUUAAAGAAUUAUUUGAAAAAUAAAAAUUAAGUUGUGACUUGAUCUCUAACACAAAUUUGUUCUUAUACAGGUGAUGAUGGAGUCAUAAACAGUAGGAUACAGAGGUGGAACAAAACUGGAGCUUUAGUUUGUUUGUUUGUAGAACUUGGCAUCUACUCCAGACAUUAUUCUGAAGAACACUCAAGU
rnacentral:sRNA from 1 species